GUCUAAGUAUAAGCAAUUAUACGGCGAAACUGCGAAUGGCUCAUUAAAUCAGUUAUCGUUUAUUUGAUAGUACCUUACUACUUGGAUAACCGUGGUAAUUCUAGAGCUAAUACAUGCUAAAAAUCCCGACUCACGGAGGGAUGUAUUUAUUAGAUUAAAAACCAAUGCCCCUCGGGGCUUUCUGGUGAUUCAUAAUAACUUCUCGAAUCGCAUGGCCUUGCGCCGGCGAUGGUUCAUUCAAAUUUCUGCCCUAUCAACUUUCGAUGGCAGGGUCUUGGCCUGCCAUGGUUACAACGGGUAACGGAGGGUUAGGGCUCGACCCCGGAGAAGGAGCCUGAGAAACGGCUACUACAUCCAAGGAAGGCAGCAGGCGCGCAAAUUACCCAAUCCCGACACGGGGAGGUAGUGACAAUAAAUACUGAUACAGGGCUCUUUUGGGUCUUGUAAUUGGAAUGAGUACAAUUUAAAUCCCUUAACGAGGAACAAUUGGAGGGCAAGUCUGGUGCCAGCAGCCGCGGUAAUUCCAGCUCCAAUAGCGUAUAUUAAAGUUGUUGCAGUUAAAAAGCUCGUAGUUGAACCUUGGGCCUGGCUGGCCGGUCCGCCUCACCGCGUGCACUGGUUCGGCCGGGCCUUUCCCUCUGGGGAGCCCUAUGCCCUUCACUGGGUGUAGUGGGGAACCAGGACUUUUACUGUGAAAAAAUUAGAGUGUUCAAAGCAGGCCUAUGCUCGAAUACAUCAGCAUGGAAUAAUAGAAUAGGACGUGUGGUUCUAUUUUGUUGGUUUCUAGGACCGCCGUAAUGAUUAAUAGGGACAGUCGGGGGCAUCAGUAUUCAAUUGUCAGAGGUGAAAUUCUUGGAUUUAUUGAAGACUAACUACUGCGAAAGCAUUUGCCAAGGAUGUUUUCAUUAAUCAGGAACGAAAGUUAGGGGAUCGAAGACGAUCAGAUACCGUCGUAGUCUUAACCAUAAACUAUGCCGACUAGGGAUCGGACGAUGUUAUUUUUUGACUCGUUCGGCACCUUACGAGAAAUCAAAGUUUUUGGGUCUGGGG
rnacentral:rRNA from 1 species